rnacentral:lncRNA from 1 species
CUUGCUGGCGUGUAAGAAUUGUGCAGCAAGCUGUGAGCUUGGCCUGUUGCACUGGAGUGGAGAGCGGCAGGCGGGGAGGCUGAAGGAAAGCCCAGCUGCCUGUUGGCAUCAGCGGGAGCAAAGGCAGCACUGGCUCUUUCCUAAUUUUCCCAUUAAGAGCCUUCCAAGAGAGGAAAGCCAAGUGUGGCAGCCCAAAAGGUGUCUUGCUGAUUGUAGCCGGGGUGCAAGAUGAAAUGCAUGGCAAGAUGGAGGAGCACCCAAUUCAGCCAUCUCCAUAGGCUUUGGAUGGCUCAGAAUGCCAUUUGUAUCAAAGUCUAGGAUUUCCCCUUAGUCCAGGUGCUUGGGCAGCUGAAGAGCAAGCAGCUCCUGAAGGAUUGGCUGCUGCCAGUGUGUCUCACUGCUGUCUGUCUGCAGGGCUCAAGGGCAGGGUCGGCACCUCCUCUGGCUCCCUCUCUUGUGGAGGAAGAGGCUGAAGAGGAGCAAGAGCACAUCAAGCCCCCAGCUGCUGUCCCUCCACGGCCCCAAAAGGCUCCCGCAGCUGCCGGCACUGGGUCCGGCAGCCCCGCCCAGCCGGCCGAGACGAGAGAGGAGCAGAGGCUGAUGAGACUGAGGAGCGUUGUGAGCCCGGGUGAGCCAAGGAGCAAAUACACGGCCCUUGAAGAACUUGGACGAGGGGGCUUUGGAGCUGUUUAUAGAGCCCUGGACGCCAGCACAGGCAAACAGGUAAAGGGUCAGCAGCCCUGGCGGAUUGUGCAGCUCCGGAGUGCUUCCCCCGCUGCUGGAAACCGUGGCUGGAGCUUUGGCCGGCCGCUCCGUCUCUGCAGCAGAGGCUGCUCGUCAGAAGCACAG